GUCAGUCACUUCUCAAUAAAAUUGGAGAAAUGGUUGGUAACAAAUGCGACGGCUGAAAAGGCUCAUAAAAGGUAAUCAUAAGAGGUAAAGUUAAGGAUCUAAAGUUUUUUUAUGAGACACUAAUUCUCAACUCUUUAAAAAUUUAGUGAGGUCAAACCCAAACCUCAGCAGUGACAAUGCCAGAUCAUAAAAUUUCUUAGAGUCUUCGCAGAAACAAUCUUCCUUGGGCACUAUUUUAACCAUGUCUGGUAUGUUUUGAAAAGAAAUAUCCAUACCAACAGUAUCCAUAAUUUCUGGUUAUAGCUACCACUAAAUUUUUUAAAAGUUGAGAAUUAGUGUGAUCUAAUGCCAUUAGGUAAUUGAUAGUCUUUUGGUAAAGAAUCCAUUUAUGUGGCAUUUCCCCACAAAAAAUAUGUCUUUUUUUUUUUUUUUUUUUCUUUUUCAGAGUGUUUGUUCUCAGAGUUUGUCUGCUGGCUCCUUUACGACUGGAGAACAGGUAGUAAAAGAACUCCAGAGACUUGCCUACAUCAGUGAAAAGAAAGAAGCUGCAAGAAGUCUGACCACUAAGAACAUCGCAAUUACUAUUUUCACUGCCAAUCUUGUAGCACGCAUUCCGUGCCUCUGACUUGAUCUGGGCUCAUUUGAAGGAUAAUGGACUGACUGCUAUCUCAGCAAACUGAUUCCAAAGGUAAUUGUAAUUUAUGAUCUAUAUGUAUCAUCACUAUUUUCUAAACGGGAAAGUGUGAUGAAAGAAUCAAAUCACUGGCAUUUUCUUUUUAAGGUGUCUACUACACUGACAUCUCCAAAAGUAGGCUUUGCCACAUAACUCAUAAGUUUUGGUUAUUUGAUAGAUUUAUAUAAAUGGCAGGUCAAUUACAAUUAUUAUAUCCAUUUAAGAGAAAAGAAAACAAAGGCCAAGGAGUUUGAUUUCCUUGAGCAAUACAGGCCAUGAUAUAGUAAAGGAGUGUGAUGUGGAUGACCUGUUAAAAUUCACAUCUGCUGCAGUGGAUGAUGUCUGUGACUAUGGAAAGAGUAAAUAAAAAGAUUGAUAGAAAUAUCCCUGUCCUUGAUUACUUCAAAUGUUUUAAAUUGAAAAGUAUAUGCAACUGAUUAACAAAAUGUAUUUAUAAAUGCUGGAUUUGUAAACUUAAUAUAUUAAUAUAAAAUAUGACCUGUAUAUUUGUUGAGUAUAGAAAAUCGAUGUAUAUAGACUAAUAGAAACCUAGCAUAUAAAAAAGCUAAAAUUAUAUCAUAGAAAAAGUUAACUGAAAUAUUUCUGAUAGUUUACUAGGAACAGCAAGAAGAUUUUUUACCAAGAGACUACAAAUUACCUAAUGCAAUUAAAGUAAUAGGAAAUUCUUAAGGAUAAUUUACUAAUGUUUUUCUGGCAAAUCAUGGCUCUUAGAGGUAAAAUUCUUAUCAGUUGCUAUUUCAUUUUUCUUCAUA
rnacentral:lncRNA from 1 species